UGGUUCCUCUUUAGGUCUCAAACUU
rnacentral:piRNA from 1 species